AAAGCCACACUGUGUAGGAUUUAGUCUCAUCUAGUGGUGAGGAUGCAGACUGCAUUAUAGCAUCACCAGUCACAGCUUUGUCUUCCUUGAUGUUUUUGUUU